rfam:Medicago truncatula strain A17 chromosome 1, whole genome shotgun sequence.
UUAGAUGUAAAUUGAUUUAUGUUUGGAUGCACUCAUUUAAAAGUAAUUCAUAUGAAUUGAUGUUGUUUGGAUAG